rnacentral:rRNA from 1 species
CACGGGGGGAGCAAGCGUUGUUCGGAAUCACUGGGCGUAAAGGGUGCGUAGGUGGGCAGGUAAGUCCGUGGUGAAAUCUCUGAGCUUAACUCAGAAACUGCCGUGGAUACUAUUUGUCUUGAAUAUUGUGGAGGUGAGCGGAAUAUGUCAUGUAGCGGUGAAAUGCUUAGAUAUGACAUAGAACACCAAUUGCGAAGGCAGCUCACUACACAAUGAUUGACGCUGAGGCACGAAAGCGUGGGGAUCAAACAGG